rnacentral:rRNA from 1 species
CCUACGGGAGGCAGCAGUGAGGAAUUUUCCGCAAUGGGCGAAAGCCUGACGGAGCAAUGCCGCGUGGAGGAGGAAGGCCUGUGGGUCGUAAACUCCUUUUCUCAGAGAAGAAGUUCUGACGGUAUCUGAGGAAUAAGCAUCGGCUAACUCUGUGCCAGCAGCCGCGGUAAUACAGGGGAUGCAAGCGUUAUCCGGAAUUAUUGGGCGUAAAGCGUCCUGAGGUGGCUUACCCAGUCGACUGUGAAAGCUCAAGGCUUAACCUUGAAACGGCAGUCGAAACUUGUAAGCUUGAGUACGGUAGGGGCAGAGGGAAUUCCCGGAGGAGAGGUGAAAUUCGUAGAUAUCGGGAGGAAGGCCAAAGGCGAAAGCACUCUGCUGGGCCGAUUACUGACACUGACAGACGAAAGCUAGGGGAGCGAAAGGGAUUAGAUACCCCUGUAGUCCUAGCCGUAAACGAUGGAUACUAAGUGUUGCGCGACUCAAACGUGCAGUGCUGCAGCUAACGCGGUAAGUAUCCCGCCUGGGGAGUAGUGCCGCAAGGGUGAAACUCAAAGGAAUUGACGCUUGNGAGUUGCGAGGCGCGACGAGGGAGAGG